rnacentral:rRNA from 1 species
UACGUAGGGUGCGAGCGUUAAUCGGAAUUACUGGGCGUAAAGCGUGCGCAGGCGGUUUUGUAAGCCAGAUGUGAAAUCCCCGGGCUCAACCUGGGAAUGGCAUUUGGGACUGCAAGGCUGGAGUUUGGCAGAGGAGACUGGAAUUCCCGGUGUAGCAGUGAAAUGCGUAGAUAUCGGGAGGAAUACCGAUGGCGAAGGCAGGUCUCUGGGCUAUAACUGACGCUCAUGCACGAAAGCGUGGGGAGCAAACAGGAU